CUCACUCUCAGACACUUUUCUCGCCCCACUCAUCUCCGACCACCUCACUCUCUACUCACAACAACAAUCAUCUCUCUUUUUCCAUCUGGUCGCAGAAACGUAACAACAUAAUCGUUCGCUCAUCUUCUCGCGUUCGCAGCUUCACCACCGCAUAAUUUAGCCGUUGUUCUCCUCUUGUCUGAGAUUGUUCAGAUUCACGCUUUACCUCGCCUAACCAUAGUGAGGAAGUGAAUUUCUGGUGAGUGCUUAACCUAUAAUUGUUUCUAAAUGUGAAAUGACCCAAAAGUUUUAAAACCCUAAUCCUCAAUUUUACCCCCAAUUUCACAGAGUUUUGAUUGAUUCAUGUUUGUUUGUGUUGUGUGGUAAUGGUUAAUUAUUGUUUGUUUUUCCUGUUUACAUGGGUUGUGUAGAACAAACGUGAGAAAUCUGAAUGUGUAGGGGAUAUAUGCUUUCAACAUUGUAAAUUCUCAUCAUCAUCAUCCGGCUGACUCCUCAUCCAUUGGUUUAUUUUUCAUUUCAUGAAUAUAUCAUUAUGAUUGAAUAAACUAUGGAAUUGUAGUUUCUGCUUAGCACUUGAUAUGGAGUGAAUGGGUUUACACUUGACCUUCCCUUGGUAAGUUCAUACAUCAUAUUGACUCACCCAAACAUUAGAUACACGCAUUAUGUUGCAGCCAAAUUGGUAAAUGAGUUAAGUAGCAUAGUUUAUUAGAUUGUUACUUGCACAAUUUUGAAUUUUAUUUGUUACAGUUUAUGCCUGAAGUAGUAUUUCAGCAGCUAGUGUUAGCUUGGAAGGGGGUGUUCUUAUUGGGAGUUUGGUUUUUUAGUGCCAUUAAUUAAUAUUGUGUCUGGGAUGGAUAAUUUUAUGUUUUGCCUUGACCUGAGUAGUUUGUAGCAGGAUAAGGUGGAGUAAUAGUUGUUGUAUCAUUUGGAGAAGCCUUAAGCGAGUUCAUUCAUUCAUAGGAAACUAGCAUUAGGAAACCCAAGGCUUUGCUUGUUUCAUUCAUAGUUAGUGAUUUUCUAAUUUAUUUUUAUGACAAAUUUCAGAGACUCUAUUGAACGCGAGGUUGCUCUCAUGAUACUCAUAAUGUGAAGGACGUUCUUCACAGAUAAAGUUGUUCUGAAGUCAGAGUCCCUAUAUGGGAUGCACACCAGGUUUCUUGUAAGCAUCACGAGGUGAUGAUAUUUACAAUCUCGUUCAUGUUAUGGUUUGUUCAUGUUUAUAUUGUCUUACUAUAAUUUUUUUUAUGGGUAUGAUUUGUUUCCAUUUGCAUCUGUUUUACAAUCACCCCAAACGAGCUUAGAUUAACGGAAUUAUUAUUUUGGUCAGGCAAUAAGUAUCGUUUUGGAGGGUAUGAUUUGUAUCCCUUUGCAUUUGUUAAUUAUGCAAUGGUAAUUAUGACAGUUCAGUACUGGAUGGAAUAUCAGGCUUUCCAAUUUUUUAAUCAUAUAUAUUUGGAAAUCAAUUUUCUUAAUUCCAAUUUUAUAGAGUUGCUAACUCAUACACCUUUUUUAUUUUAUUUAUAGGAGAUCUAGUCACUGACAAUGGUUUCUUUUGUAUUAUUUGAUUGGUAAGUUCAUUAUGACUAGUCUUGACAUUUUGUUACUGUUACUUUCUACUAUGAUUACAAAACUUAAUUUCUUAAAUUUUGGGUUUAUUAUCUUUGGGUAUAUUGUUGGAUUUUUGUUAAACUUAUUAGGUUUUUUUGUAUAUUUUAUAGAUGUCCGCUAAAGAAAAGACUUGGACCAGAUUCCUCAAACAAGAUGGUUUGCACAAAUGACAUCAAUUCAGGAGCAAGCAAAGACAUCAAAGGAUGAGACUCAAGGAGAUGUGAGAAAUUAUAGGUUCAUUUUGAGAUUUGAAGUGUUACUUGCAUUUUUUGCUAUGCCUACACCUUAUUUGAUAGUGAUCUUUUGUGUUUGUAAAUUAUUAUUUCAGUGAUAAGAUUUUUAUAUUUUUCAGAUUUUUGUUUAAAGUUAUUGAGGGGUUUUUUCCGUGGUACUAGU
rnacentral:lncRNA from 1 species